CGUUGAAACACCGGUUUCCAUACGAUCACCGAAGUUAAGAAAUGUCGAGCCUGGUUAGUACCUAAAUGGGUGACCAGUUG